ensembl:misc_RNA Metazoa_SRP Metazoan signal recognition particle RNA
GCCAGGUGUGGUGGUGCAUGCCUGUAAUCCCAGCUACUUGGGAGACUGAGACAGGAGGACUGCUUGAGCCCAGGAGUUGGAGGCUGCAGUGAGCUGCGAUUGCACCAUUGCACUCUAGCCUGGGCAACAAAGUGAGACCCUGUCUCUU